rnacentral:snRNA from 1 species
GUGCUCGCUUCGGCAGCACAUACACUAAAAUUGGAACGAUACAGAGAAGAUUAGCAUGGCCCCUGCACAAGGACGACAUGCAAAUUCGUGAAGCGUUCUGUAUUUUU